CUCCUUGCAGGGGAGGGGAAGGAGGUGGAAAUCAGAGACCCUCUGGGGAGAACAGUUUCUGGCUCCACCCCUUGUAUCUUACAUUGAGUGGAAGAUUUUGGUAGAAGUCGAGACCCAUCCAGUUGGCGCGUGGGUUGAAGGGAGGAUGGCAUCAAGGAAAACUUCUUGGAGGAGGGGCUGAUUAUUCCCAUUCUGAGAACAGAACACCGAGUCAUGAGGGAGAUCCUGCUGCUCCAGGUCGCUGCAAAGAAUUAUAAAAAGACCCCAAGGAGUGAUUUGGGGCCUGGUUCCAGGACAUGGAGCUGCUCAACGAGAAUGAGUCAAACACCAAGGGUAGAGGUCAUCAAAAGAUCAAGUCUAAUCUACCUACGGGUGUGGCAGCCUUAACUAUGGAUGUUCAAGCCAGACAUUGCCAGAAGAACUACAUCUCUUCACCCAUAGAAGAUGCAACCUACAGCUGAAGAGAAACAGAUACAACACCAAUAUCUUAUCCUCUCUGAAGCCAAACUGAGAGCCCCUGGAGUCAGAAGUUUCCAAGAAAAGAAAAAGUCAUCCAUCUUCGGAAGAGAGACAGUAGAGCACGGACUGUAGGAGAAAGCCCAGAGGAGCAAUGAAGACAAAGAAGACAUGACACCUGCAAAAAGUCAGUGGAGUAUUUCUACGUAACAAACCUUCCAGGUGAGUGACGGUCAGUAUCUUCCACUGAUCCAGCUCUCACAAUAAACCUAGAACAUGCCCAAGGUAAGCUGGAGGACUACGCCCCACUAGUCCAUUCCCUGCCCAGGGCCUGUUUGUGCAGGGUGACUGCCAUCAAGCAGACAAUGGACUCAGGAUGGAGCAUGUGCCUUUGGGGAGGCUGGUAGAGAGGGACAAAGUGGAACACCAGCUAAGUGCACACACCUGAGAGGUGGAGUUCCAGGAGGAGACUCAAAAUGUACCAAGAAACUGCGUGAAGGGAGCUACUCGACCUCUCUGAGCCUCAGUGUCCCCCCCUGUAAAAUGGGGAUGACAGGCCUACU